rnacentral:lncRNA from 1 species
AGCAGGUUCGCGCCUUGGAGAGCGUCUUCCGGCACUACCAGUAUCUGGGCCCUCUGGAGCGGAAGUGGCUGGCCGGGGAUAUGCAGCUCACAGAGGUCCAGAUGAAAACCUGGUUUCAAAACCGCCAGAUGAAACACGAACGGCAAAUGCAGGAUUCACAGCUGAACAGCCCCUUCUUGGGGUCUCUCCACGCGCCCGGGCUUUCCACUCACCGUCUUCUGGCCUUGCCAACGGCCUGCAGCUGCUGUGCCCUUGGGCUCCCCUGCCAGGGCCCCAGGCUCCGAUGAUGCCCCCUGGUUCCUUCUGGGGUCUCUCACAAGUGGAACAAGAGGCCCUGGCCUCUGCGUGGGCUUCCUGCUGCGGGCAGCCUCUGGCCUACCACCCCCCAAGCCCAGGAAGUGGCGUGGAUACACUGGGACCAGCCCUGUCCACAGGGCCCUGGAGGCUGUGUGCUCUGCCAGAGACAGGGGCUGCGUUUUGA